GUGCCAGCCGCGCGGUAAUACGGAGGGUGCAAGCGUUGUCCGGAAUCACUGGGCGUAAAGGGUGCGCAGGCGGGGCAGCAAGUCGGAGGUGAAAGCCCAUGGCCCAACCAUGGAAGUGCCCUCGAAACUGUUGCUCUUGAGUCCCGGAGAGGCUGUCGGAAUUCGUGGUGUAGCGGUGAAAUGCGUAGAUAUCACGAGGAACACCAGAGGCGAAAGCGGACAGCUGGACGGGUACUGACGCUCAGGCACGAAAGCGUGGGGAGCAAACAGGAUUAGAUACCCGAGUGUCC
rnacentral:rRNA from 1 species